rnacentral:rRNA from 1 species
GUGAACGCUGGCGGUAGGCCUAACCCAUGCAAGUCGAACGGCAGCACCGUAAGCGCUUGCUCUUACGGGUGGCGAGUGGCGGUCGGGUGAGGAAUACAUCGGAAUCUACUUUUUCGUGGGGGAUAACGUAGGGAAACUUACGCUAAUACCGCAUACGACCUACGGGUGAAAGCAGGGGAUCUUCGGACCUUGCGCGAUUGAAUGAGCCGAUGUCGGAUUAGCUAGUUGGCGGGGUAAAGGCCCACCAAGGCGACGAUCCGUAGCUGGUCUGAGAGGAUGAUCAGCCACACUGGAACUGAGACACGGUCCAGACUCCUACGGGAGGCAGCAGUGGGGAAUAUUGGACAAUGGGCGCAAGCCUGAUCCAGCCAUACCGCGUGGGUGAAGAAGGCCUUCGGGUUGUAAAGCCCUUUUGUUGGGAAAGAAAAGCAGCAGGUUAAUACCCCGCUGUUCUGACGGUACCCAAAGAAUAAGCACCGGCUAACUUCGUG